UGGAAAGAUUAUUGUAUUCAACAGUAUUCGACUGUAUUCACGGCGUGAAACAGGGGAUUACACUGUUUUUAAACGGAAAGUGAAUCAAUUAACAUAAUAGACUCCU
rnacentral:pre_miRNA from 1 species